AUUGAACGCUGGCGGCAUGCUUUACACAUGCAAGUCGAACGGUAACAGGGAGCUUGCUCCGCUGACGAGUGGCGAACGGGUGAGUAAUGCGUCGGAACGUGCCGAGUAGUGGGGGAUAACGCAGCGAAAGUUGUGCUAAUACCGCAUACGUACUGAGGUAGAAAGUGGGGGACCUUCGGGCCUCACGCUAUUCGAGCGGCCGACGUCUGAUUAGCUAGUAGGUGAGGUAAAGGCUCACCUAGGCGACGAUCAGUAGCGGGUCUGAGAGGAUGAUCCGCCACACUGGGACUGAGACACGGCCCAGACUCCUACGGGAGGCAGCAGUGGGGAAUUUUGGACAAUGGGCGAAAGCCUGAUCCAGCCAUGCCGCGUGUCUGAAGAAGGCCUUCGGGUUGUAAAGGACUUUUGUCGGGGAGCAAAUGCCUGGUGUUAAUAGCAUCGGGAGCUGAGAGUACCGGAAGAAUAAGCACCGGCUAACUACGUGCCAGCCGCCGCGGUAAAAC
rnacentral:rRNA from 1 species